rnacentral:lncRNA from 7 species
GUGUGUCCCAGGGCGAUGUGGCUGUGGCAUGAAGAAAGGUAGUGGGGGUGAAGAAGCUGAAAGUGAAACUGUCUGAAAAUGAGAGUGAAGAAAACUGGCCUGCUUCUAUAAUUUCAACAGAAAGCACCCCAGGUAAACAAAAUGGCACACUUGUGCAAUCAGCAAUGAAGAAUUCUCCCUACUUAAAUGGCUGAAGUGAGACAAGUGGAGAGAGAAAGUACGGCUUUCUGUGAGAGCUGGGGAAAAAAUCACAACGUAAUUCCCCACGGCCUCCAGUUGCCUCAUGACCACGCUCCUAUCCUGCCCUGACCCUGUGCUGACGGACUCCUGAGAGCCUGCAGGGGCAGAGUGCUGCAUCACCCCAUUGCCACCUCUUUCCAAUGGGCAUCUGUCCACAUCAGUGGCUGCAGGAGAACCAUCAGCAAUCCUGGAGCAGCUCUUUGAGUUCCCCAGGCUGUGCUGCCAGGGAGUUUCAGCUUCUGGGAAAGGCCUCAGCAAGGAAAAGCUUUCAGCAUUCUCAAAGUCAUCUAAUUGUUCAGGACAUACUGAGUAUCUGCACUUACAGAAAUCAUGUUCAGGUGGAGCUCCCUUGAAGGCAAGGCACCGGGAAGCCAAGAUGAGUUUUCAGAAAGUCCUGCUCCUGGUGAUUAAGACCAGAUCUUCGUGUGGAUGCUGCUGGAAAAGCCUGAGGCCGUGUUGGCCACCGGGAUGAGCACUCAUCAUCCUGCAGUAUCUGCCGGUCUAAUUGUGGGUUGCUUGUCAAAAAGAGAGAUAAGGAGGGCAGGUUGUAAGUACUGAGGUGUGCUUUCUUCCUUCCAUUCCUCCUUUGGCAGGAGGGAAGUCCUGAACAAGGCACGUGGAGCCUCUCCUCCCCUCUCUGCAUGCUUCAUCAGCAGGAAUUAAUUACCAGCUCUCCAGAUCAUGCCAGCCAUCUGCCCCAUCAGCACUGGCCAAGACGCAAUGGAAGGGCAUGUAUGAGCUUCGGGGUUUUAACUGGAGCUGGGAGAGGGAGAAAAGGAAUUUUUUUGCUGGUUGGCUUGAGUGUGGCCAUGGGUUUGUAGAGCCUGAAGGCUGAUUGCUGACCAUGCAUGCUGCAGCUCAGCACAGAGUGUGCCAACGGCUGAGACUUAUGUGACGACUGUCACCCAGCACAAGGAGUGAGCUGCCGAGCCAGGCCUUCUGUUUGGCAAAGCCCGACGACGCUGCUGAAUUAAAGACAUAAUUGGGGUUUUGGCAAAAUUGCAACACAGCUGCCCAAGGUCAUCUCCAGUGAAAGUAGCUGAGGAGGUUUACACAGAAGAUGUUAAUUGGAUUUUCGUUUUCUCUUUAGAAAGGUUCAGAGCUAUCGGAUCUCACCACACUACAUGCUGCAUGAAUAUGUCCAAUGAUAUUGUGAGCUGUGUUCAAUCUUAACGGCUUUCCAUCUCCGUAACAACGGUAUUAGCAUUAAUAUUGUGCCCAGGGCUCUGAGUGUGGAUACUAAUGGAGCUCAAUCAGCUCUAAAAGAACAAAGGAUCUCUUUUAUAUCGCACCCUGUGACAGUCAGAGGAUUGGAUUAGCAACUUGUCAGUCCUUUGUUUUGCAGCUUUUUUUGAUGCUUUCUGAAAUACUUGGAUAGUACGUAGAAUUGUUUUAUCUGAAAAAUUAAUACAAAACAAUAAGUGAAAGCUGUGUGCUAUUCCCUCCUGACCUGAUUAUUGCAGAUUAUUUAACUAAGUAGCCAGCAUACUCCCUAAUUUAAGUAAGUGCUGAAUUCCUACAAUACAAAACGCUAUCUUUUCUCAUAAAAUAAGCCCAAGAAAGAGCAAGCUCAAUUGCCAAUUAUGCUUCUUCCAUGAAAUCUCUUCUAUCCCCUUCAGGAUAGGUUUGGGUAAAAAUAUAAUUGCAGCGGAUAAGGAAGCUUAAGAAAAGACGUAAGUGAAAAAAUGUUAUGUGUUGGCAUCUGAUUGAUCCAUUUGAAAGGAAGAGAAGGAGAAUUUGAUGAGAUGGUAAGGAGCUCAUAGUUUGUUUCGAAGGAACCCAGCAUUUUUAACCUGUACAGGGUGCUGAGCUAUAAUUAAGAACGGCAAGUCAGUGAAAAAUCUAUUUAAACUCCUGACAGCUUCUCCAGAUUAGCAUUUUUGACAUCUACAUUCACUCUGGCAAAUCACUGAUGUGAUUUUUUUUCAAAUUUAUAUUUUUAUUAGCUUCCUGCAUAUAAUAACAAAGUGAAAAUGAUGUUACAGUCUGGACAGGUCUUUAACUCAAAAGCUCAGAACUUGCAAUGUGCUUAAUUAGCUGCCUGAUUAUUGUUUUAUUCUGAAGGAAAUUUUGUAAAUGUGCUUUCAUCUAUAAAGCAUAUUU